AAAAAUGUUUCAUAUUUAAAGGAUUAUGCUCCUGUUAAAUUGACACUUGAUACAUUUGUCAUGGACAGAGAGCAGGUAGAUCGAAUCGUGGGGAGUCGCCACAUGUGAUAUGCAAACAAACACACACACACACACACACACACACACACAAGUUGACACAACUGUAGGUCUACCUGAAUGCUUGCGGUUUCCAGACCUUUGAAGCACGAACUAUUACUGUAGCGGUUGCCUGGCAGUGUCGGCAGUAUCAGCUGCAUCGCUUUCCCAUGGGACUGCCAGAGACUUAGAGAGCAAGAAAUAGAAGCAGGGAGAUGCUGCGCUGCGCUCCACUCACACAUUUGGCAAACCGCCCUUGUAGGCUAGCCUACUUCUCUCACCCUCGAGCUACUCUCCAAUCCUCCCUAAACCUAAUAGGUCAAUUCAACAGACAACCAAGAACGUGACUGCGUUAACGGAACGCAUGCAAGAAGCUCCGAGGUUCAUUUCAAAAAAAAGAUUUGCAAAGAUAUGCGUAAGCUGAGUUUUCAGUCGUGAUGCUGAGAGACAUUGUUGUAAAUCAACAACCUCGAGCGAGAGGAAAUUGACUUUCGACGGACAGGCGCAAACUCUUCUCAGCGUCAAAGACUGAUGGUUAUUGCUACAGAGCAGGUUCCCGUGGCAGGGCUGAGGAGGGAUGCUCUUGGGGGAGUGCAGUAGUACCAGUAGGUUGCUGGAGGCUCUGUGUGGCAGGAGAAGGGUAGUGGUGUCGGCCAUGAAGCUGCCCUGCUCCUUCUACUGUUCCCUCUGGUUCCUCCUGCUCCUGGGGGCCGCGUCCUUACUCCUCCUAGUCCACCUCCAGGGCCUCUCAGACAUGCUCCAGCAACAGACCCCAGAAGUAUAUCCGGUUGUGAUCUCUGCAAACAACGUUUUCCCUCCGAGAAUGAGAACGGUAAAUGACUGUAGGCC
rnacentral:lncRNA from 1 species